UACGUAGGUGGCAAGCGUUAUCCGGAAUUAUUGGGCGUAAAGCGCGCGCAGGCGGUUUCUUAAGUCUGAUGUAAAAGCCCACGGCUCAACCGUGGAGGGUCAUUGGAAACUGGGAGACUUGAGUGCAGAAGAGGAAAGUGGAAUUCCAUGUGUAGCGGUGAAAUGCGUAGAGAUAUGGAGGAACACCAGUGGCGAAGGCGACUUUCUGGUCUGCAACUGACACUGAGGCGCGAAAGCGUGGGGAGCAAACAGG
rnacentral:rRNA from 1 species